UACGUAGGUGGCAAGCGUUGUCCGGAAUUAUUGGGCGUAAAGCGCGCGCAGGCGGUCCUUUUAAGUCUGAUGUGAAAGCCCACGGCUCAACCGUGGAGGGUCAUUGGAAACUGGGGGACUUGAGUACAGAAGAGGAAAGCGGAAUUCCACGUGUAGCGGUGAAAUGCGUAGAGAUGUGGAGGAACACCAGUGGCGAAGGCGGCUUUCUGGUCUGUAACUGACGCUGAGGCGCGAAAGCGUGGGGAGCAAACAGG
rnacentral:rRNA from 1 species